AGCAGCCGCGGUAAUUCCAGCUCCAAUAGCGUAUAUUAAAGUUGUUGCAGUUAAAAAGCUCGUAGUUGAAUUUCGGGAUCAAUUUGUUGGUCGUGCCUCGGUACGUACUGGCAUUAUUGGUUUCUACCUUCUGAAGAACCUUGAUGUCAUUAAUUUGGUGUCUUGGGGAAUCAGGACUGUUACUUUGAAAAAUUAGAGUGUUUAAAGCAGGCAUACGCUUGAAUACAUUAGCAUGGAAUAAUGAAAUAGGACGUUUGAUUCUAUUUUGUUGGUUUCUAGGAUCGACGUAAUGAUUAAUAGGGAUAGUUGGGGGCAUUAGUAUUCAAUUGUCAGAGGUGAAAUUCUUGGAUUUAUUGAAGACUAACUACUGCGAAAGCAUUUGCCAAGGAUGUUUUCAUUAAUCAAGAACGAAAGUUAGGGGAUCGAAGACGAUCAGAUACCGUCGUAGUCUUAACCAUAAACUAUGCCGACUAGGGAUCGGAUGAUGUUAUUUUUAAU
rnacentral:rRNA from 1 species